CGCACGGUGGCUUAGUGGUUAGCACGUUCGCCUCACACCUCCAGGGUCCAGGUUUGGCACAGUAAGGUCCAAGGGUCGGGUUCGAUUCCCGCCGGGGGA